CGGCUUCCUACGGGAGGCAGCAGUAGGGAAUAUUGCGCAAUGGGGGAAACCCUGACGCAGCGACGCCGCGUGGAGGAUGAAGGCCUUCGGGUUGUAAACUCCUUUUCUCAGGGAAAAUGGUGAUGGUACCUGAGGAAUAAGCCACGGCUAACUCUGUGCCAGCAGCCGCGGUAAGACAGAGGUGGCAAGCGUUGUUCGGAAUCACUGGGCUUAAAGGGCGAGUAGGCGGUGAGGCAAGUCCGAGGUGUAAUACUAUGGCUUAACCAUAGAACUGCCUCGGAAACUGCUUUACUUGAGUCAGUGAGGGGAGGGCGGAAUUCCUGGUGUAGCGGUGAAAUGCGUAGAUAUCAGGAGGAAGGCCAGUGGCGAAGGCGUCCCUCUGGCACUGAACUGACGCUGAGGCGCGAA
rnacentral:rRNA from 1 species